ACACACCCCAAAUGAAUUUUCAGAGGUCAUUCCACAUUUUAAUUUAAGAAAAAGUCAUAUUUGAUAAGAGUCCUUCUGCAGGUGAAACUCUCUUAUCAGAUACGAUGUUUUAUUCUUCUCCCGUGCAUGCCCAAUAAAAGAUGCGAUAAGCAUCUUUCCAUUAAUCAGAUUAUUUUUAGAUGUUUACAUGUGGAAACUUUUUUCUUAAAUGUU
rnacentral:lncRNA from 1 species